GGGAAAUUUCCGGUGGUGAAAGCUUAUUGUGAAAACCAGUCUCGGCCAUGGAGAUUUCGCGGAAGCCAAUGAAAAGGCAACAACUGAGUUCAGUCAGUUUGCUUUCAGUCACGGUCGCUGCAAAUCAACUCAUCAAUUGAUCGUCCGUUUCUUUUCGACGAAUCCAAGUUUGAGCAACAGGAAAUGGAUGACCAAGACGGAGGUGAGAAAAACU